rnacentral:rRNA from 1 species
UACGGAGGGUGCAAGCGUUAUCCGGAUUUAUUGGGUUUAAAGGGUGCGUAGGCGGUAGGAUAAGUCAGUGGUGAAAUUCUGCAGCUUAACUGUAGCUGUGCCAUUGAAACUGUUUUACUUGAGUUAUCCUGAAGUAGGCGGAAUGUGUAGUGUAGCGGUGAAAUGCUUAGAUAUUACACAGAACACCGAUUGCGAAGGCAGCUUACUAAGGGUCGACUGACGCUGAGGCACGAAAGCGUGGGGAUCGAACAGG